GUGCGCCCCGGCCUGGGCUGGGGUUUGAGGGUGCCGCGGAGUGAAGAGUCUGGGCAGAGUCGGAGAUGCAGUGGUUCGAGAUUCAAGUUCAAGUCUUCCCACCAGCCGCCGCCGCCCGAGGUUUUAUUUGUCUCCCCGCACUCUCCCCCCGAGUCCCAAACAGGAGGAGUCACUGGAACUUGGAAACGCGUCCUGAACUCCAGGUCGCGCCAAUCAGAUCAGAGAAAGAACUAUGGGCUCCGCCCCUCCAGCCGCGGUCAUCACAGAAUGGCCUGGCACGGUGACCACGGAGUGCCCUGGCACCGGUGCCCGCGGCUGUGACGGAAAAAGGGUGGGAAGAACAGGGAAGAGGAAGCAGAAACAGGUUAUCUGUUCACUCUGAUGGUAGAGAAGACCUUAAAUGACCUGAUGGAGCUGAAAACCAUGGCGAGAACUUCCUGCCUUCGAUUUCUCACAAGCUCGGGCAUACCACGAGGCUUGGAGACUCAAAACCUGAAGAGCCUGCAAUCAGAUUUCUCCCUUACUAUUCCUGCUCAUUGUCUUCUGUGGACUAAUACUGAACAUGAAACUUUGCUUACAGUUUUGUGGCCUGUUCCUUUCCUCUGAUUGCUGAUCAUUGCAUGAAUUUCCUGAGAUUAUCACUGAAUAGGACCUUUCUUUUUCCUGUAUCCUCUACUACACACACUGAGUUCAAAUAGAAUUAUUUUACUUGGAAAACUCCAGGUUUUGCUAAGUUCCAGCCUUGGUUUGUGUAGCACUGGUUGGCUGCCUUAGACUAAUUUUUUGGGGGUGUCAGAUAGUAAAAGGAGCACAAUCAAGCACCAGGUCAUCUGAAAGACAAAUUUUAGACGUCACUUUCUUUUGUGAUUUUGUUGCUUAACCCAGUGCAGGGGCAGUCAAAGCUGUAUCACCAUUGCAUUCACUGUCUAGGUAAAAAUGGGAAAAUUCAGUCAGUUAUACUAAUAUUCCUUACUACUUGCAAUUUAUGUUCACUGGCCUAUUGGUAUGAGCAAUGCAUUGUACAUUACAUAUUUGGCAGUAAAAGGACAGAUACCCAGAUGUCAUACUAAAAUUUCUGCAUUUGUUUGAAAAUACUAGUUUAAGCAAUUACAUGUUAUGCAAGUGGUUAGUCCUUCCCUCUCCAGCUUGGCUGCCACCAGUAAUAAUGGAUCAUAACAUCUUCUCCUGUGUGAUCUGAUGCGGCCUUGGGAUUCGUCCCAACGCAGGACUCCAGAGAUCAGUGGAUCAGUGAAUUAUGUUUGGGAGAUGCAACCCCUGUUGUUACUGGGCUGGGGGCCCAAGCAGCUGCUGGUGGGGUGUUCUGCCCUGCAGCAGCACCCUACCUCCACCCUCCCCUUUACAUUUAGAAGAACUGUCCUUUAGUGAGACUGUCAAUGGAAAACAUGAAAAUCAUUCAUUUAAUCCAACAUUUUCAAUCGCAGAGGAAAAACAAGCAGAAGAGUUAAGUCACCAGAGUCAUACAGCUGGUAGGAAAAAUGGGUUCUCUAAAUCUCAGUUUAAACAGAAAUCCUUGUCACACUCUUCUGGGGAUUGAGAAGCGUAAGAUUUUUUUUUUUUUUUUUAAUUGCCUUUCUGAAACUUUAGAAGAAUACCUAUUUGCCCUGUUGGCCAAAACCAGGCAACUGUGUGAAACAGUUGAAUGCUAAAACAAACUAAACAGAUGCUGGAAACUCAACCGUUUGUUUCUUGAACAAAAUUGAUUUUACCUGAUGUCCUCUUGAGCUCAGUUAGACUUUGCCAGAGAGAAAACGAGACUGUCUGCAACUUUAACAAUAAUCACACAGACACAUACUUCUUUCCCCCUUUAGUUUCCCAUUUUGAAAAUAACUCGAGGGCCUGACAAAUGCUGAGUUUGGGCAACAUGGCUGUGUUCUUGAUUGAGGAAAGCAGGCCUGCCUGACCGUGUUUCAACAGUCAGUGCAGAAUCUCAAAAGGAAGUACAAAUAGGAAGGGUUAAGGGUCCUCUUUUUUUGUUCUUUAUUCCACCCGUUGCACACUAGGGUUCUCUCACUUCUUCUUUCAAAUAGGCUUCUCAAAAUGCACUGUGUAUUGGAGCAAAGGGAGUGAGGGAUUGUUUAUUUUUAUUUUUAAAUAAGAAAUGAAACCUAUAAAUUAAUGCCCUAGGGAAAAAAGAAAGUUACUUUCUGCUAUGCACAAUUUUUACCAACAUUGUGUUGGAAGGAAGAAGCAGCUGGCCUGCGGAAGCUAAGCAGAUGCUGGGGCUCUCUCGAGCAGGCUAAGUUGGUGAAAGGUCUAUCUGAAUGAUGAUGUAAGAAGACCACUGUUCUAGAUUUUAAGAACAAAAGCUUUGCUGCCUUGAACCCCCAAAUAAUUGCUCAAAUUCAAACUGGUUGUUAGCUUUUUUAAAAGCUCAGCUGAUUCCGCAGGAUGUUGUGGCUGUGAACUGGGAAGCCUGCCAUGCUAUUAUUUUGAAAAGUGCUGUGCAAACAGUGUUCCUCUCAGAUGGUUUCCAGAGUUAGUUCCUUACAAGCAUUUCCUCUUGAAACAUCGGGAAUCUAAAUAAAGGCACUCCUUGAUGAAAUAAGUAAGAAAGCUUGUCAAGAGCCAUCACUCUUGCUCAUGGGACAAGAGAAGGCACUGACCUGUGCCCACCAGCACCCCAUCACUGAGCCAACACCACCUUCAGGAAGACAGUCUCCAGCAGGGCUUCCCCCAAUUCCCCUAGCUGCUUUGCCUCUGCUACUCCGGUAAGCACCUGCAGGGAGGCAGGCACCCCAGCACCCACUAGCAUUCUGCAACAGCUGUUGCACCUUGGCUCCCCCAGUACAGUGGAUUCCAAACCUCAAGGAGUCAAAGAACAGAUGGGGCCCAAUACAAAUUCCCCAGAAUUACAACAUGCCGUCCAGGAGUUGAGAGCUGAGUGUUGACCUUCUAAAAUCUCCCAGAAACAAAGCCAGGUGGCUGAAUCCACCUUAUAUUAUAGUCAAACCCUCAAGGUCAUCAAAUCAUCAAAUAGGAUAAAAGAAAAAAAAAUCCAAAGGUCAGCAACAUCCAAGAUUGAAGACAGAUAAGCUCACAAAGAUGAGAAAGAGUCAGCACAGGAAAACUGAAAACUCGAAAAACCAGAGUGCCCUCUUUCCUACGAACAGCCACAUCACCUCUCCAGCAAAGGUUCUGAACUGAGCUGAGAUGGCCAAAAUGACAGAAAUAGAAUUCAGAAUAUGGAUAAGAAUGAAGAUCAUUGAGCUACAGGAGUAUGUUGAAACCCAAUGCAAGGAAGUGAAAAAUCAUGAUAAAACAAUGCCAGAGCUGACAGACAAUAAUGGACAGUAUAGAAAAGACUGUAACUGGCCUGAUAGAGUCAAAAAAUAUAAUACAAGAAUUUCAUAAUGCAAUCACAACUAUUAAUAGCAGAAUAUAACAAGUGGAUGAAUGAAUCAGAGCUUAAAGAAUGGCUUUCUGAAAUAAGACAAUCAGACAAGAAUAGAGAAAAAAGAAAAAAAGGAAAGAACAAAAGCUCUUAGAAAUAGACUCACUAAAGAGACUGAGUAAAGAGACCAAAUCUAAAACUCACUUGUGUCCCUGAAGGAGAUGGGGAGAAUAGAACCAACUUGGAGACAUAUUUCAGGCUAUUAUCCAUGAGAAAUUCCCCAGCCUAGAUUGAGAGGCCAACAUUCAAAUUCAGGAAAUUCAGAGAACUCCAGUAAGAUACUUCACAACAAAAUGAUCCACAAGACACAUAAUCAUCAAAUUCUUCAAGAUUGAAGUGAAAGAAAAAAUAUUAAAGGCAGCAAGAGAGAAAGGUUAGUUACCUACAAAGGGAAGCCCAUCAGACUAACAGUGGGCCUCUCAGCUGAAACCCUACAAGUCUGAAGAAAUCAGAGGCCAACGUUCAACAUUGUUAAGGAAAACAAAUUCCAUCCCAGAAUUUCAUAUCCAGCCAAACUAAGCUUCAUAAGCAAAGGAGAAAUAAGAUCAUCUGUAGACAAGCAAAUGCUGAGCAAAUUUGGUACCACCAGACCUGCCCUGCAAAAGUUCCUGAAGGAAGCACCAACUAUGGAAAGGAAAGACUAUUACCAGCCACUAUAAAAACACACUGAAGUACACAGGCCAGUGACACUAUAAAGCAUCCACACAUACAAGUUUGCAAAAUAACCCGCUAACACUAUGAUGACAGGAUCAAAUCCACAGAUAUCAAUACUAACCUUGAAUGUAAAUGGACUAAAUGCCCCCAAGUGAAAGACAGAGUGUGGCAAGCUGGAUAAAGAACCAAGACCCAUUGGUAUGCUGUCUUCAAGACACCCAUCUCAUAUGCAGUGACAUAUAUAGGCUCAAAAUAAAGAGAUGAAGAAAAAUCUACCAAGAAAAUGGAAAACAAAAGAAAGCAGGGGUUGCAAUCCCAGUUUCUGACAAAACAGACUUUAAACCAACAAACAUCCAAAAAGACAAAAAAGGGCAUUACAUAAUGGUAAAUGGUUCAAUUCAACAAGAAGAUCUAACUAUCCUAAAUAUAUAUGCACCCAACAGGAGCACCCAGAUUAAUAAAGCAAGGGUUUAGAGACCUUCAAAGAGCAUUGUACCCCCACACAAAAAUAGUGGGAGAAUAUAACACCUCACUGAAAAUAUUAAAGAGAUUAUCAAAACAGAAAAUUAACAAAGAUAUUCAGUACCUGAACUAAGCAUUGGAUCAAAUGGAUCUAAUAGAUAUCUACAGAACUCUCCAUCCCAAAACAACAUAAUAUACAUUCUUCUCAUUGCCACAUGGCAUAUACUCUAAAGUUGAUCACAUAAUCAGAAGUAAAACACUCCUCAGCAAAUGCAAAAGAACUGAAAUCAUAACAAUCUCUCAGACCACAGUGCAAUCAAAUUAGAAAUCGAGACUAAGAAAUUCACUCAAAACCAUAUAAUUACAUGGAAAUUGAAUAACCUACUCCUGAGUGACUUUUAGGUAAAUAAUGAAAUUAAGGAAGAAAUCAAGAAGUUCUUUGAAACUAAUGAGAACAAAUAUACAACAUACUAGAAUCUCUGGGACACAGAUAAGGCAGUGUUAAGAGGAAAAUUUGUAGCACUAAAUGCCCACAUCAAAAAGUUAGAAUGAUCUCAAGUUAACAACCUAACAUCACAACUAAAAGAACUAGAGAACCAAGAGCAAACAAAUCCCAAAGCUAUCAGAAGACAAGAAAUAACCAAAAUUAGAGCUUAACUGAAAGAGAUAGAAACACAAAAAAUCCUUCAACAAUUAACAAAUCCAGGAUCUAGUUUUUGAAAAAAAAAUAGAAUAAACUGCUAGCUAGACUAAUAAAGAAGAAAAGAGAGAAGAUUCAAAUGAAAACAAUCAGAAAUGAUGAGAGGGAUAUUAUCACUGACCUCACAGAAAUACAAACAACCACCAGAGACUAUUAUGAACACUUCUAUGCACAUAAACUAGAAAAUCUAGAAGUGGAUAAAUUCCUGGACCCAUUCACCCUCCCAAAACUGAACCAGGAAGAAAUUGGUCCCCGAACAGACUAAUAGUGAGCUCUGAAAUUGAGUCAGUAAUAAAUAGCCUACCAACCAAAACAAAAAACAACAACAAAAAAACAAAACCUGGGACCAGACAGAUUCACAGCUGAAUUCUAUCAGAUGUACAAAAAAAGAGCUGAUACCAUUCCUACUGAAACUAUUCCAAAAAAUUGAGGACAAGGAAUUCCUCCCUAACUUGUUCUAUGAGGCCAGCAUCAUCCUGAUAUCAAAAUCUGAGAAAGAUACACCAAAAAAAGAAAACUUCAGACCAAUAUUUUUGAUGAACAUCAAUGCAAAAAUUCUCAACAAAAUACCGGCAAACCAAAUCCAGCAACAUCUGAAAGCCUAUCCACCACAAUCAAGUAGGCUUUAUCCCUGAGAUGCAACGUUGGUUAGACAUACGCAAAACAAUAAAUGUGAUUCAUCACAUAAGCAGAAUCAAAGACAAAAACCACAUGGGGCCGGGCAUGGAGGCUCACGCCUGUAAUCUCAGCACUUUGGGAGUCAAGGCAAAUGGAUCACCUGAGGUCAGGAGUUCACGACCAGCCCGGCCAACAUGGUGAAACCCCAUCUCUACUAAAAACACAAAAAUGAGCUAGGUGUGAUGGCUUACACCUGUAGUCCCAGCUAUUCAGGAGGCUGAGGCAGGAGAAUCGCUUGAACCUGGGAGGCAGAGGUUGUGGUGAGCCGAGAUUGUGCCACUGCACUCCAGUCUGGGCAACCAGAGUGAAACUCCAUCUAAAACAAACAAACAAACAAACAAACAAACACCACACAGUUAUCUCAAUAGAUGCAGAAAAGACUUUCUAUGAAAUUCAAUAUCCAUUUAGGUUAAAAGCUCUCAAUAAAGUAGGUAUUGAAGGAACACAGCUCAAAAUAAAAAGAACUGUCUAUGACAAACCCACAGCCAACAUCAUACUGAAUGGGCAAAAGCUGGAAACAUUCCCCUUGAAAAUGAGCACAAGACAAGGAUACCCUUUCUAACCACUCAUAUUCAAUAUAGUAUUGGAAGUCCUGGCCUGGGCAAUCAGGCAAGAAAAAUAAAUAAAGGGCAUCCAAACAGGAAGAGAGGAAGUCAAACUAUCCCUGUUUGCAGAUGACAUGAUCUUAUAUUUACAAAACCCCAUAGUCUUAGCCCAAAAGCUUCUUAAGCUGAUAAACAACUUUAGCAAAGCCUCAGGAUACAAAAAUCAAUGUGCAAAAAUCACUAGCAUUCCUAUACACCAACAGCAGUCAAGCCAAGAGUCAAAUCAGGAACAGAAGCCCAUUCACAACUGCCACAAAAAGAAUAAGCCUAGGAAUACAGCUAACUAGGGAGGAAAAAGAUUUCUACUGGGAGAACUACAAAACACGGCUCCAGAAAAUCAGAGAUGACACAAACAAAUGAAAAAACAUUCCAUGAUCGUGGAUAGGAAGAAUCAAUAUUGCAAAAAUGACCAUACUGACUAGAGUGAUUUAUAGAUUAAAUACUAUUCCAACUAAACUACAGUUGAGAUUCUUUGCAGAUCCAGAAAAACUAUUUUAAAAUUAAUAUGGAACCAAAAAGAGCCCAAAUAGCCAAAGCAAUCCUAAGCAAAAAGAACAAAGCUGGAGGCAUCACACUAUACGACUUCAAACUAUACUACAGGGCUACGGUAACAACAGCAUGGUACUGGUACAAAAACAGACACAUAAAACAAUGGAACAAAAUAAAGAACCCAGAAAUAAGGCCACACCUACAACUAUCUGAUCUUCAACAAGCCUGACAAAAACAAGCAAUGGGGAAAGGACUCCCUAUUCUAUAAAUGGUGCUGGGAUAACUGGCUAGCCAUAUACAGACGAGUGAAACUAGACCCCUUUCUUAUACCAUACACCAAAAUUAACUCAAGAUGGAUUGAGGACUUAAAUGUAAAACCCCAAACUAUAAAAAACUCUGGAAGACAACCCAGGUAAUACCAUUCAGGACAUAGGUAUGUGCAAAGAUUUCAUGACAAAGAUGCCAAUAGCAAUUGCAACAAAAGCAAAACUUGGUAGAUCUAAAGAGCUGCUGCACAGCAAAAGAAACUAUCAACAGAGUGAUCAGGCAACCUACGGAAUGGGAGAAAAUUUUUGCAAACUAUGCAUCUGACAAAGGUCUAAUAUCCAGCAUUUAUAAGGAACAUAAACAAAUUUACAAGAAAAACAACUCCAUUAAAAAGUGAGCAAAGCACAGGAACAGACGCUUUUCAAAAGAAGACAUCGAUGCAGCCAACAAUCAUAUGAGAAAAUGCUCAAUGUCACUGACCAUUAGAGAAAUGCAAAUCAAAACCACAUUGAGAUACCAUCUCACACCAGUCAGCAUGGCUAUUAUGAAAAAGUCAAAAAGUAACAGAUGCUGGGGAGGAUUCAGGGGGAAAAAGGAAUGCUUAUACAUUGUUGGUGGGAAUGUAAAUUAGUUCAACCAUUGUGGAAGACAGUGUGGCAAUUCCUCAAAGACCUAAAACAGAAAUACCAUUCAACUCAGCAAUCCCAUUACUGAGUAUAUACCCAAGGGAAUAUAAGUCAUUCUACUGUGAAGACACAUACAUACAUGUGUUCAUUGCAGCACUAUUCACAAUAGCAAAGACAUGGAAUCAACCUAAAUGCCCAUUGGUGAUAGACUGGAUAAAGACAAUGUGGUACAUAUAAACCACGGAAGACUAUGUAGCUAUAAAAAAGAAUGAGAUCAUGUCCUUUGCAGGGACAUGGAUGGAGCUGGAGGCCAUUAUCUUUAGCAAACUAAUGCAGGAACAGAAAACUAGAUAUUGCACAUUCUCACUUAUAAGUGGUAGCUAAAUGAUGCAAACACAUGGACAUAUAGAGGGGGACAACACACACUGGGGCCUAUCAGAGGGUGGAGGGUGGGAGGAGGGAGAGAAUCAGGAAAAAUAACUAAUGGGUGCAAGGCUUAAUACGUGGGCGACAAAAUAAUCCGUACAACAAACCCCUAUGACACAAGUUUACUUAUAUAACAAACCUGCACAUGUGCCCCUGCACUUAAAAUAAGACUUAAAAAUAAGAACUCAUAGCCAUCUUUUUAAUUUCCCACACCUAUCUUCUUCCUUGUAAGAAUUGAUGAUAGCUUACACAUUUUAAAAAAUAUGCUAAAAAAUUUUAAAGAUGCUUUUUAAAAAUUGAAAAAAUUUUUGGUAUAUAAAUAUCUAAGAAUAUAUAGACCCUAUAGAUAGAAUAUUCAGUCUUUCUACAAUCAACUGGACCACAGAGACUUCUUUUUUCAUAGAGCAUCUUUCAACACUGGUGUGGUAAAUUUGGUAAAACUGUGUCAGUAAAUAUUUUGGGACUAUGGUUAUCAGCCUAGCUUACUAAUCUCAAAUUUUGAUCUAAUGAAUGACACACAUGUAACAGUGCUAUGAGCAAAUAUUAAGACCAUUUCUUGGAAUAAGCCAGUUUUAAAAAUCAACUUAUUGACUUAAAAUCAGUUUUAUUAUUAUUUACAUACGAUAAAAUGUGCUCCUUUAAAAUGUACAUUUUUAUGAGUUUUGACAAAUAUAUACAUCUCUGUGACUAACACCAUAGUUAUGAUUUAGAACAUUUCCAUCACCCUGCAAAAUUCUCUCAUGCCCCUUUGCAGUUAAUCCUCUCCGAAUCUCUGGUCCAGGCAAUGAAUGGUCUUUUUGUCAUGGUAGAUUAUAUUUCCUUAUUUCUAGAAUUUUAUGUAAGUGGUGCCAUAUACAAUGUACUUUUGUGUCUGAAACUUUUGUUUAUUUGUUUAGAGACAGAGUCUCACUGGAGUGCAGUGGCGUGACUAUGGCUCACUGCAUCCUCAAAGUCCUGGGCUCAAGUGAUCCUCCCCCCUCAACCUCCUGAGUAGCCUCUCUGCAUGUUUUUCUGAUUCAUCCAUGUUCUAUGUAUUGGUGGUUCAUUAUUUUAUUGCUGAGUAGUAUUCCACUGUAUGGAUAUAACACAACUUGUUUAUCCAUUGAAUUGUGAUGGGCCAUAAGACUGUUUCUCAUUUUUAGCUAUUAUAAAUAAAGCUUUUAUGAACAUUUAUGUGUAAGUUUUUGUGUGUGCACCAG
rnacentral:lncRNA from 10 species